rnacentral:rRNA from 1 species
CCCGAGACUCAGUGAAAUUGAACUCGCUGUGAAGAUGCAGUGUACCCGCGGCAAGACGGAAAGACCCCGUGAACCUUUACUAUAGCUUGACACUGAACAUUGAGCCUUGAUGUGUAGGAUAGGUGGGAGGCUUUGAAGUGUGGACGCCAGUCUGCAUGGAGCCGACCUUGAAAUACCACCCUUUAAUGUUUGAUGUUCUAACGUGGACCCGUGAUCCGGGUUGCGGACAGUGUCUGGUGGGUAGUUUGACUGGGGCGGUCUCCUCCUAAAGAGUAACGGAGGAGCACGAAGGUUGGCUAAUCCUGGUCGGACAUCAGGAGGUUAGUGCAAUGGCAUAAGCCAGCUUGACUGCGAGCGUGACGGCGCGAGCAGGUGCGAAAGCAGGUCAUAGUGAUCCGGUGGUUCUGAAUGGAAGGGCCAUCGCUCAACGGAUAAAAGGUACUCCGGGGAUAACAGGCUGAUACCGCCCAAGAGUUCAUAUCGACGGCGGUGUUUGGCACCUCGAUGUCGGCUCAUCACAUCCUGGGGCUGAAGUAGGUCCCAAGGGUAUGGCUGUUCGCCAUUUAAAGUGGUACGCGAGCUGGGUUUAGAACGUCGUGAGACAGUUCGGUCCCUAUCUGCCGUGGGCGCUGGAGAACUGAGGGGGGCUGCUCCUAGUACGAGAGGACCGGAGUGGACGCAUCACUGGUGUUCGGGUUGUCAUGCCAAUGGCACUGCCCGGUAGCUAAAUGCGGAAGAGAUAAGUGCUGAAAGCAUCUAAGCACGAAACUUGCCCCGA